CCGGCUAACUCCGUGCCAGCAGCCGCGGUAAUACGGAGGGUGCGAGCGUUAAUCGGAAUAACUGGGCGUAAAGGGCACGCAGGCGGUUGUCUAAGUCAGAUGUGAAAGCCCCGAGCUUAACUUGGGAAUUGCAUUUGAGACUGGGCGACUAGAGUCCUCUAGGGAGGGGUAGAAUUCCACGUGUAGCGGUGAAAUGCGUAGAGAUGUGGAGGAAUACCGAAGGCGAAGGCAGCCCCUUGGAGAGAGACUGACGCUGAGGUGCGAAAGCGUGGGUAGCAAACAGGAUUAGAUACCCUGGUAGUCCACGCUGUAAACGAUGUCAAUUUGGGGGUUGGGCUUUAAGCCUGGCGCCCGUAGCUAACGCGAUAAAUUGACCGCCUGGGGAGUACGGCCGCAAGGUUAAAACUCAAAUGAAUUGACGGGGGCCCGCACAAGCGGUGGAGCAUGUGGUUUAAUUCGAUGCAACGCGAAGAACCUUACCUACUCUUGACAUCCAUAGAAGAGACUAGAGAUAGUCUUGUGCCUUCGGGAACUAUGAGACAGGUGCUGCAUGGCUGUCGUCAGCUCGUGUUGUGAAAUGUUGGGUUAAGUCCCGCAACGAGCGCAACCCUUAUCCUUUGUUGCUAGCAGGUAAUGCUGAGAACUCAAAGGAGACUGCC
rnacentral:rRNA from 1 species